UACGUAGGGGGCAAGCGUUGUCCGGAUUUAUUGGGCGUAAAGAGCGUGUAGGCGGCCUGAAAGGUCAGCUGUGAAAACUCGAGGCUUAACCUCGAGACGUCGGUUGAAACCAUCUGGCUAGAGUCCGGAAGAGGAGUGUGGAAUUCCCGGUGUAGCGGUGAAAUGCGCAGAUAUCGGGAAGAACACCCGUGGCGAAGGCGGCACUCUGGGA
rnacentral:rRNA from 1 species